UGACAUCACACAGAGCCAGCCAGUUACCCCCAGGGGCUCCGCCCAGUGACUUGGGCUCCUAAGGGUUGGCUCCGCAUCUCAGGUGAAAUUAGUCCCACCCCAUCAGCUGGCUAGGGCCCUUCCCUGGGCUCUUAACUUGAAUUGCCCCCCAGUUAGGAGCUCAGUCCCCGGAGCUCUUAAGGGUGCUUUCUAUUUGAAGAGUCUCGUCACCGAGAGGACCCUUAAUGGCGUUCUGGAAUCCUGAAAAGCAGCCCCCAGAGGCUAGUGGAACAGCCCAGGGAGAAAUGCAGAAUGAGGAAGUUCAUUGCCUGGUCUCUAGGUGUGCUGCCCUCAAGCCUGAGAUUGGGCAGAUGCCACGACCUCCCUUCUGCCCAGCCCCAAGCGGUCUGCCUGGCUCCAACCACAGGGCAGCACGGGUAAACUGGAACUGAGCUGUUGUGUGCAAGUGUGGGUGGGGGGCAGGGAGCACAGAGAAGAGCACUGGGACUCCUAGUCUGCCUGGCACACCGAGUCACUUAGCCAUGCUGUGACCUGCCGGGGACCAGCUCUUCUUCAGCAGUGACAGAGCCAGAUCAAAGGGGACCUCAGCUACAGCAGGAGGGAUUUAGAUAAGCUAGCAAAAAGAACUUCCUGCCUGCAAAGAUUGUUAAGCCCUGGAAAGGGGAGCCUGGGAGUCUGUGGAAUCUUUUUGCUCCGAAAUCAUAGUCACUGGUAUCACUGUGGCUUCUUCCGUGCCGUGUCUGAUAAGGACAAACAAACCCUGACAUUUUUUGAGAA